GGGAGCCUAGGGUGGUGGGAGUGUUUUGGGUUGGUGGAGGGAUCAAUGUUUUAAAGAUUAUUAGGUUUUUCGGUUGGAUUGGAGGUAUAGUAAGAGAAGGUAGCGUAUGAGAAUUGGGUUGAGAUGAAUUGGCAUGUCUAGAUCACCGACUAUAAAUGAGAAGAGGUUGAGUUAGGUUAGGUGGAUGUGACUGGUUGGAGCAAGAGGGAGAAGAUAUACUUGAAGUCAAUUGACUCGGUUGUCAUUCUGUGAGUAAGAAGAAUCUUGUGCAAUG
rnacentral:lncRNA from 1 species